rnacentral:rRNA from 1 species
GCUGAUUUCAGGGUAGCAAUAUUCUGGAGUCGGAGUGGCGCAAGGGUGCGUAACACGUGGGUAAUUUGCCGUGAAGCCCGGAAUAACUCGCUGAAAGGCGAGCUAAUACCGGAUGUGACUUCUGGAGGGCAUCCUCUGGAAUUCAAAGCUGGGGACCGCAAGGCCUGGCACUUCAUGAUAAGCCCGCGGCCUAUCAGCUAGUUGGUGAGGUAACGGCUCACCAAGGCUAAGACGGGUAGCUGGUCUGAGAGGACGACCAGCCUCACUGGAACUGAGACACGGUCCAGACACCUACGGGUGGCAGCAGUCGAGAAUUUUUCUCAAUGGGCGAAAGCCUGAAGGAGCGACGCCGCGUGGGGGAUGAAUGGCUUCGGCCCGUAAACCCCUGUCAUUUGCGAUCAAGCCCCGUCAUUUAAAAGAUGACGGGCUGAUAGUAGCGAAAGAGGAAGGGACGGCUAACUCUGUGCCAGCAGCCGCGGUAAUACAGAGGUCCCAAGCGUUGUUCGGAUUCACUGGGCGUAAAGGGUGCGUAGGCGGCCGGGUAAGUCUGCUGUGAAAUCCCGCAGCUCAACUGCGGAACUGCAUUGGAUACUAUCCGGCUAGAGGAAUGGAGGGGGAGA